CUAGGACAGGACAGCAGUGAGAGACCCAUGGCUGUCUCUUCCUGUUCUGUCUCUCUCCCCCGUUCCUUUUGUCUCUUUCCUUCCAUCAUGCUGGGACAGGGAGCUAGCUGAAGCCGUGGGCAUCAGUCUCUAGAGCAGCUUGGGUAAGGGGAUAAUAUCUUAUGAUCCGGUGCCAGAGCAGGAAGGAUUCUGCCAUGGCGUCUUGUUUGAGGUUUGAAAUGGAAUGUUCCCAACAGAAGGAGGCUUUGGCUGAGCUCCCAAAGGAGGGACCCUGCACAGCUGGGCUCGGCAGGAAGUACCACCCAGCAGGACCUGAGUGGCAGCCCUUCACAGCCUUCUGGCUGAUACCAGUACUUAAACGAAGAAGCCAUGAAGGGGAGCUGUCUGAGGAACAACACAGACUGCCUGCCUUUCUCUCCUCCAGACCCUGCUUGCAGUAGAUCCUAGACUCUGGCUUCUGACCCUGGGCCUCAUCACAGAAGUUGGUGGUAGGAGAGUAACAGCUAGAAUUUUGGGAAUCUGUUUGUCAGAGCACAGAGGGCACUGGAAGACCUUUUGAAGCCAGGGAGUCCCGAUCACGUGAGCUGUUUGAUCAUGUCUUGAUCCACCGUUGCCUCUUUCUGUCCAGAAGCACAAAACUAAGACUGAAUGUGGAUUAAAAUAGGUAAUUUGGUGUCCAAAAUGUUACUUUUUGCUUCUAACUACCAUCAUACAUGUCCCAAGAUUUUUAGCUGAAUAAGCAAAUGUUCUAUUGCUUUCACUAUCAAAUAUUACCAGUAUUACUUACCUGGAAAAGCUACGUCAAUGACAAAUGAUAUUCACAUUUGCUUACAAAUAUUGUACUUUACCAUGAUGCAUAUUUUGAAUCAGUACAUUUUUUUGUGAUGUAUUACUGCCUCUCACUAUAAUUUAUAACAUUUCAGUGGAUAAUGUUUUAACUUUCUAUUCUGUGGAAAUUAUCAUGUUUAUUUCAGUAACUUCACUAAUUUUGUGAUAAUUCAUCAUAGUUUUUUAAAUAGAAAAGUCACUUUUAAAUUAGUAAUUUUUUAUUCAUAAGAAUGGAAAGACUUGGUGUAUUUGACAAGGGUUGCAAAGGGCAUUGCAGUGAAAAAUGUCAGCAUAAUUUGUUCCUCUCAUCGUGUACAAAAGUUCUGGAGUCAGAGGUAAAUGUUUUGACAUUAAAUUCUACUGAACCUCUUUAAUCACAAUAAAUCUUCUCAGAUCA